rnacentral:rRNA from 1 species
AUGGCAGGGGCCGAGGCGCGGUGCUCCGGGUCGGCGGUGCCCGGCAGGGUCGCGGUGGCGGCCUCCAGUGAGGGAGCCGAACGGGGUAGGUGGCGCUCGGCGUACUCCGACGAUGCAGCGAUCUCCUGGCGAAGCGGCGGCGCGCCUGCUGGCUCCUGGAGAGGCGGAGCGACGGGGACCGGUGAAGUGGCGCCCCGGCGGCCGUGCUCGUGA